rnacentral:rRNA from 1 species
GCCGCGUGGACGAUGAAGGCCUUCGGGUUGUAAAGUCCGGUAAACAGGGAAGAAUAAGUUUCGUUGAAUAAGCGGAACGAUGACGAUACCUGUCUAAAGCCCCGGCUAACUACGUGCCAGCAGCCGCGGUAAUACGUAUGGGGCGAGCGUUGUUCGGAAUUAUUGGGCAUAAAGGGCGUCUAGGCGGGGGACUAAGUUAGGUGUGAAAGCCAUGGGCUCAACCCGUGAAUUGCAUCUAAAACUGGUUCUCUUGAGUUCGGGAGAGGAGUGCGGAAUUCCUGGUGUAGCGGUGAAAUGCGUAGAUAUCAGGAAGAACACCAGUGGCGAAGGCGGCACUCUGGCCUAGAACUGACGCUGAAGCGCGAAAGCGUGGGGAGCGAACGGGAUUAGAUACCCCGGUAGUCCACGCCGUAAACGUUGUGUACUAGGUGUUAGUGCUUUAAGCACUAGUGCCGACGCUAACGCAUUAAGUACACCGCCUGGGGAGUACGGCCGCAAGGCUUAAACUCAAAGAAAUUGACGGGGGCCCGCACAAGCGGUGGAGCAUGUGGUUUAAUUCGAUGAUACGCGAAGAACCUUACCAGGGCUUGAACUGUUUCUGACAGGUGUAGAGAUACACCCUCCUUCGGGCAGAUUCAGAGGUGCUGCAUGGUUGUCGUCAGCUCGUGUCGUGAGAUGUUGGGUUAAGUCCCGCAACGAGCGCAACCCUUACUCCUUGUUGCUAUCAGGUUAUGCUGGGCACUCUAGGGGAACUGCCGGUGAUAAACCGGAGGAAGGUGGGGAUGACGUCAAAUCAGCACGGCCCUUAUGUCCUGGGCUACACACGUGCUACAAUGGCCGGUACAAUGAGCAGCGAUGCCGCGAGGUGGAGCGAAUCUCAAAAAACCGGUCUCAGUUCGGAUUGUAGUCUGCAACUCGACUACAUGAAGCUGGAAUCGCUAGUAAUCGGAGAUCAGCACGCUCCGGUGAUACGUUCCCGGGCCUUGUACACACCGCCCGUCACACCAUCCGAGUUGGCAGCACCCGAAGUGGCUGAGCUAAUCCUUUUGGA